rnacentral:rRNA from 1 species
UGGGGAAUAUUGCGCAAUGGGGGAAACCCUGACGCAGCGACGCCGCGUGCGGGAUGAAGGCCUUCGGGUUGUAAACCGCUUUUGAUUGGGAGCAAGCUUUCGGGUGAGUGUACCUUUCGAAUAAGCGCCGGCUAACUACGUGCCAGCAGCCGCGGUAAUACGUAGGUGGCAAGCGUUGUCCGGAUUUAUUGGGCGUAAAGCGAGCGCAGGCGGUCAAUUAAGUCUGAUGUGAAAGCCCCCGGCUCAACCGGGGAGGGUCAUUGGAAACUGGUUGACUUGAGUGCAGAAGAGGAGAGUGGAAUUCCAUGUGUAGCGGUGAAAUGCGUAGAUAUAUGGAGGAACACCGGUGGCGAAAGCGGCUCUCUGGUCUGUAACUGACGCUGAGGCUCGAAAGCGUGGGGAGCGAACAGG